AGACUUGGAAGAGGCAGCUCUCUCCAUGCCAAAGAAAUCGAGCUCAACAGUGGCUCUCGACAUUGUAGAUUCUUCACGACAAGUAUAGAAGAAUUUUGAUUAAACUGAGAGAAUGUUUUGUAGGUAGAGAACUUAAAUGCGAAGGCGGGAGGAUGCGAGAAAGUUAAGGGACGUUAAUAAAGAGGAGAUAUGUACAUGAAACUGCACGAGUUACAUGAGAUAAGGAAGGGGUCAAAAAGAGGAAAAAAAAAAGGGAGAAAUUUAAAAAAAAAAAAAAAAAAAAAAAAAAAAAAAAAAUGGCAGAGGGCCCACAUUUUCCACGGGGGGCCCCCCAAUGUUUUGUAGGUAGAGAACUUAAAUGCGAAGGCGGGAGGAUGCGAGAAAGUUAAGGGACGUUAAUAAAGAGGAGAUAUGUACAUGAAACUGCACGAGUUACAUGAGAUAAGGAAGGGGUCAAAAAGAGGAAAAAAAAAAGGGAGAAAUUUAAAAAAAAAAAAAAAAAAAGAAAAGAAAAACAAUGGCAGAUGGCACACAUCUUCCACGUGGUGUCCCUGCCAGCAAUAAACUGGAUACUGUUACAACUACAAUCUGGUUGAAGGAUUCACCGGUUUGGUGUUUUUUAGUACAUAUGAUCAACUCGUGAUUCGACUCACGUGUCAGCAAAUCUUUUUUUAUUUUAGUAUUGGACUCCAUAUAUUUUUCAAUCUGGUUUUUUAGGAUAAAGUUUAUAUACACUUUUACUUAUCUAGCCCUUUAUA
rnacentral:lncRNA from 1 species